rnacentral:lncRNA from 1 species
CGACACUCCAAACACGCGCUCAUCACUGUCAUUUUCAUCUUCUAAUCCCUCGUUGUGGCACUCAUCACUGUCGUGUUGAUCGAAGCUUCCGCUAUGCCAUCUCUAGUCGUUUGUUGACCCCAGCUCUCGUCGUGCCAUCUCUAUAGCUCCCGUCGUGCCAUCUCGAGUCGUCUGUUGACCCAAGCUCAAGUCGCUAGCUGUACCCAG